GACAGAGGUGCCGAGCGUUAGGCGGAAUCACUGGGCUUAAAGCGUGUGUAGGCGGAUUGGUAAGUACCUUGUGAAAUCCCACGGCUUAACCGUGGAACUGCUUGGUAUACUGCUUAUCUUGGGCCACUUAGGGCUACCGGAACAAACGGUGGAGCGGUGAAAUGCGUAGAUAUCGUUUGGAACGCCAAUGGUGAAAACAGGUAGCUGGGAGUGUGCCGACGCUGAGGUGCGAGAGCGUGGGAGCGAACCGG
rnacentral:rRNA from 1 species